rnacentral:rRNA from 1 species
UGCAGUCUGCAACUCGACUGCACGAAGUCGGAAUUGCUAGUAAUCGCGGAUCAGCAUGCCGCGGUGAAUACGUUCCCGGGCCUUGUACACACCGCCCGUCACACCAUGAGAGUCGGGAACACCCGAAGUCCGUAGUCUAACCGCAAGGAGGACGCGGCCGAAGGUGGGCUUGAUAAUUGGGGUGAAGUCGUAACAAGGUACC